rnacentral:rRNA from 1 species
GUGAACCACCUGAUCCCAUGCCGAACUCAGCAGUGAAACC